GUCUCUGAAUCAUGCACAAAGGCAGAUUAAAAUCAGGCUGCCACCCACAUCUGUCUGGCCUGCCCCCACUGCACAGAUGGCUCAACUGCCCUUCAAACAUCAGCUGAAUUGCCACAAAUUAGCCAAGCAUAUUUAAUAAUACUAAAAGCUGAGCGCAAAAAUCUCAGCUGCAGAAAGCAGGAACUUUCAAGGCAAUAACAAGCUGGACAGCUGUGGAAGGAAGUUUUUUACAGCCACCAGUUUUACUGUACCUGUAUUUGUGACAGGAGUCUUGAAUUCGUUUUCUCUCUGGCCAAGAUUGCCAAGUAUUGCAGACGACCUGGUCCAAAUUGUCAGGCUGAAGCAGCAGUGAGAAUGGGUGCACAGUCAUGACUUAGGGCUCCCUCCAGCAAGCCCCACUCCCAUUCCUUAUGCAGGUGUAGCAAACCGGCACAAACUCAUCAGUGGGUUCACUUGCCCAUGCUCUUUGUGACAGCAAAUGUAGGAAGCAGAUGCUACUAUCACCAUUCCACCUGCUCCUACAGGCCCUCGUGAGGGUCCUGGGCAGAAUGCUGUGCUCUUCCAGCUAUGGGGGUGAGUGGGAGCACAUCCUUCCUUACCCCAGCUCCCCACUGGCCCAGCACAACCUCAUGUUCUAUGUGUGCAACAGCGGGCAGCAGCUGGGUGGUAAAGGCCCAGUUCAAGGGAGACAGUUUUCUACAGGAGAUGCAGUGUCAGGAUAACCAUGGCUAUGUGGAAUUAUUUGUGAAAACACAGGUAACUCUAAGUGUGGAGUACCAAUGUGAGGAGAAAGGUGACACUGGACUUUAAUCCCUGAAAUACUUUGCUGCUGAGAUUACGAUUGUCAUUUUAUUUCAUUUUUAAAAAGGGGUUGGGUGUCUGUGGAGGGUGUUCAA